AUGACGGGAGCGACCCCCUCCUGGAGGCGCGCAGGAACUGCGGCUGGCGCGGCCUCCUCCUGGAGGCGCGCAGGAACUGCGGCUGGCGCGACCUCCUCCUGGAGGCGCGCAGGAGCUGCGGCUGGCGCGACCUCCUCCUGGAGGCGCGCAGGAACUGCGGCUGGCGCGACCUCCUCCUGGAGGCGCGCAGGAGCUGCGGCUGGCGCGACCUCCUCCUGGAGGCGCGCAGGAACUGCGGCUGGCGCGACCUCCUCCUGGAGGCGCGCAGGAACUGCGGCUGGCGCGACCUCCUCCUGGAGGCGCGCAGGAACUGCGGCUGGCGCGACCUCCUCCUGGAGGCGCGCAGGAACUGCGGCUGGCGCGACCUCCUCCUGGAGGUGCGCAGGAGCUGUAGCUGGCGCGACCUCCUCCUGGAGGUGCGCAGGAACUGCGACUAGCGCGACCUCCUCCUGGGGGCCGGCGGGCGCUACGGCUCCACGGGUGACGGGGACUGGAACGACUGCUACAGGGCCGACAGGAACGGGGACUGGAACGACCGCUACAGGGCCGACAGGAACGGGGACUGGAACGACCGCUACAGGGUCGACAGGAACGGGGACUGGAACGACCGCUACAGGGCCGGCAGGAACGGGGACUGGAACGACCGCUACAGGGUCGGCAGGAACGGGGUCAGAGACAGGGGUGACCUCUACUUGGCCUACGGGAACGCCCUCAACUUGGCCUACGGGAACGCCCUCAACUUGGCCUACGGGAACGCCCUCAACUUGGCCUACGGGAACGCCCUCAACUUGGCCUACGGGAACGCCCUCAACUUGGCCUACGGGAACGCCCUCAACUUGGCCUACGGGAACGGCCUCAACUUGGCCGACAGGAACAGGAACUGGAACGACCUCAAUUUGGUCGACAGGGACAGGAACUGGAACGACCUCGACAUGGCCGACAGGGACAGGAACUGGAACGACCUCGACAUGGCCGACAGGGACAGGAACUGGAACGACCUCAAUUUGGUCGAUAGGGACAGGAACGACCUCAACAUGGCCGACAGGAACAGGAACUGGAACGACCUCAACAUGGCCGACAGGAACUGGAACGACCUCAACAUGGCCGACAGGAACUGGAACGACCUCAGCAUGGCCGACAGGAACUGGAACGACCUCAACAUGGCCGACAGAAACUGGAACGACCUCAACAUGGCCGACAGGAACUGGAACGACCUCAACAUGGCCGACAGGAACUGGAACGGCCUCUACAGGGCCGACAGGAACAGGAACUGGAACGACCUCAAUUUGGUCGACAGGGACAGGAACGACCUCAACAUGGUCGACAGGGACAGGAACGACCUCAACAUGGCCGACAGGAACAGGAACUGGAACGACCUCAACAUGGCCGACAGGAACUGGAACGACCUCAACAUGGCCGACAGGAACUGGAACGACCUCAACAUGGCCGACAGGAACUGGAACGACCUCAGCAUGGCCGACAGGAACUGGAACGACCUCAACAUGGCCGACAGAAACUGGAACGACCUCAACAUGGCCGACAGGAACUGGAACGACCUCAACAUGGCCGACAGGAACUGGAACGGCCUCUACAGGGCCGACAGGAACAGGAACGACCUCAACAUGGCCGACAGGAACUGGAACGACCUCUACGUGGCCGACAGGAACUAGAACGGCGUCCUCCUCUGAGGAGCCGACAGGAACUGGAACUAGAACGGCCUCAAUAUGGCCGACGGGAACAGGAACGGCGUCCUCCUCUGAGGAGCCGACAGGAACUAGAACGGCGUCCUCCUCUGAGGAGCCGACAGGAACUAGAACGGCCGCAACAUGGCCGACAGGAGCUGGAACGGCCGCAACAUGGCCGACAGGGACUGGAACGGCGUCAACUCCGGAGCUGGCAUGA
ensembl:lncRNA